rnacentral:rRNA from 1 species
CAAUAGCGUAUAUUAAAGCUGUUGCGGUUAAAAAGCUCGUAGUUGGAUUUCUGUCAAGGACAACUGGUCCGCCCUCCGGGUGAGCACAUAGUUUGGUCUUGGCAUCUUGCUGGAAACUGUUGCUGCACUUGGCUGUGUGGCGCAGUGUCCAGCACUUUCACUUUGAGGAAAUUGGAGUGUUUCAAGCAGGCACAUGCCUUUGGACACAGUAGCAUGGAAUAAUUAGAUUGGGCUUUUGCUCCAAUUUGUCGGUUUCUGGAGCUGAGGUGAGAAUUAAUGGGGAUUGUUGGGGGCAUCCGAAUUUAGCUGUCAGAGGUGAAAUUCUUGGAUCUGCUAAAGACGGACAACUGCGAAAGCGUUUGCCCAGGAUGUUUNCAUUG